rnacentral:rRNA from 1 species
UGGGGAAUAUUGGACAAUGGGCGCAAGCCUGAUCCAGCCAUGCCGCGUGUGUGAAGAAGGCCUUUUGGUUGUAAAGCACUUUAAGCGAGGAGGAGGCUACUUGGAUUAAUACUCUAGGAUAGUGGACGUUACUCGCAGAAUAAGCACCGGCUAACUCUGUGCCAGCAGCCGCGGUAAUACAGAGGGUGCGAGCGUUAAUCGGAUUUACUGGGCGUAAAGCGUGCGUAGGCGGCUUCUUAAGUCGGAUGUGAAAUACCUGAGCUUAACUUAGGAAUUGCAUUCGAUACUGGGAAGCUAGAGUAUGGGAGAGGAUGGUAGAAUUCCAGGUGUAGCGGUGAAAUGCGUAGAGAUCUGGAGGAAUACCGAUGGCGAAGGCAGACAUCUGGACUAAUACUGACGCUGAGGUACGAAAGCAUGGGGAGCAAACAGG